GUACUUUUGUCGCGCAUCGGUUCCGCAGGGCGCACCUUCGGUGCGCGCGGAUGAAAAGGGAAUGCCGUGCGAUUCGGCAACAGUUCCCGCUGCUGUAAGCCGCAGCAAACGCUCCGAUACUCCUCAGCCACUGCCCCGCACCGGGGCGGGAAGGCAUCGGAGCGGCGGCAAGUCAGAAGACCUGCCGGUGCACUCCAUCGAUA
rnacentral:ncRNA from 2 species